CUCGCAAGGGACAGUGGCAGACGGCUUAGCAACACGUGAGUGACCUGCCCAGAGGUGGGGGAUAGCCAUCCGAAAGGAUGGGUAAUACCGCGUAAGCUGGCUGGGGUAGAACUCAGUCAGGAAAGCAGCAAUGCGCCUUUGGAGGGGCUCGCGGCCCAUCAGGUAGUUGGUGAGGUAAUAGCCCACCAAGCCGAUGACGGGUAGCUGGUCUGAGAGGACGAUCAGCCACAAUGGAACUGAGAUACGGUCCAUACUCCUACGGGAGGCAGCAGUGGG
rnacentral:misc_RNA from 1 species